rnacentral:rRNA from 1 species
AACGAACGCUGGCGGCAUGCCUAACACAUGCAAGUCGAACGAAGGCUUCGGCCUUAGUGGCGCACGGGUGCGUAACGCGUGGGAAUCUGCCCUUUGGUUCGGAAUAACAGCUGGAAACGGCUGCUAAUACCGGAUGAUGACGAAAGUCCAAAGAUUUAUCGCCAGAGGAUGAGCCCGCGUUGGAUUAGGUAGUUGGUGGGGUAAAGGCCUACCAAGCCGACGAUCCAUAGCUGGUCUGAGAGGAUGAUCAGCCACACUGGGACUGAGACACGGCCCAGACUCCUACAGGAGGCAGCAGUGGGGAAUAUUGGACAAUGGGCGCAAGCCUGACCCAGCAAUGCCGCGUGAGUGAUGAAGGCCCUAGGGUUGUAAAGCUCUUUUACCCGGGAAGAUAAUGACUGUACCGGGAGAAUAAGCCCCGGCUAACUCCGUG